rnacentral:rRNA from 1 species
GAUGAACGCUGGCGGCGUGCCUAACACAUGCAAGUCGAACGAACAGACGGGAAGCUCGUUCUCCUAAGGUUGGCGGCGGACGGGUGAGUAAGACGUGGAUAAAACACUUAUGAUACUUGGAUAAUAUCGGGGGACAGCAGCUAAUACCGGCUAAUACGACCAACGGCAUGGUUCAAUAGUUAAUGACGGCUUUGGCGAUUCUAAGAGAUGUAUCCGCGUCGCAUUAGUUAGUUGGUAAGGGAACGGCAGACCAAGGCUACGAAGCGUAGCCGACCUGAGAGGCUGAUCAGCCACACUGGAACUGAGACACGGUCCAGACUCCUACGGGAGGCAGCAGUGGGGAAUCUUGCACAAUGGGCGAAAGCCUGACGGAGCAACACCGCGUGAGUGAAGAAGGCCUUCGGGUCGUAAAACUCUGUUAUUAGGAAAGAAAAAAAGUAUAUUAAACCAUGGACGUCUUGACGGUACCUAAACAAAAAGCCCCGGCUAACUACGUG